GUGCUCGCUUCGGCAGCACAUAUACUAAAAUCACAACGAUACAGAGAAGAUUAGCAUGGCCCCUGCUCAAGGAUGAUACGCAAAUUCGUGAAGCGUUCCAUAUUUUU
ensembl:snRNA U6 U6 spliceosomal RNA